GCUGCGGUUAGAAAAGACAUUGUUUGUCUGAAGAGACAGGGGUGUGGUGAAAAUACUCUGUGCCAGCCAAGUGAACCAAAACACUCUCUGAAUUACUACACAGGCUGGAAAAUAAAAUUUAACUGACAGAAGAUCUGGACCCAACCUGUGCUAAGAGACAGAGAGAAAAAGAAUACCAGGAAUUGCCAUGUACAGUUGGAGCAUCUGCACUAUGAAAUUCACCCUGAAUGAAUAGACACUCAGAUGUCUUCACUUCCAGCAGAGAAGACACAACUCAGGCUGAAUUAGGCCAUUUGGAGAGGUUUACCAAAAUCUCCAUGGGUUAGAGACACAAAACUCUUCUUUCACACUGGUCUGGACUGAGCACUUGUUCUUCUUAGAGCACUGUGCAAAGAGACAGAGAAAUUCUCCACUCGAAGCGUAAGCAUAUCUGCUGUUAAUGCUGAGGGGAGUUAAGUGUCUGCUUCUACAGGAGAAUACACCCCUGAAG